rnacentral:misc_RNA from 1 species
UCAGUGUGCAAAAUUCCGGGUAGGUUUAACAUCAUCAUACAUGAGGAAUACAUGCAACAGACAACUUCAGUUAUUGUCUUUGUGCAGUACUUCCCUGGAACUUUCACUUUUACUCCUUGACUUUAUAAUAAAUGUUUAAUCCCUUUUGUUCGAUAUCUUAGGAGAUGCAAUUGUGACAAGUAGAUGUUAGUUAAACGUUUUAUUUCCCUUAUCAAAUUUACCACCCUUAGAAGCAAGAAAAUUUUCUGAAAGUUCAUUGAAGGUUGAUGUUAGGAAAGGG